rnacentral:rRNA from 1 species
UACAGGGGGUGCAAACGUUGCUCGGAAUCAUUGGGCGUAAAGCGCACGUAGGCGGUUCGUUAUGUCGGAUGUGAAAGCCCUUGGCUUAACCGAGGAAGUGCAUCCGAAACUGGCGAGCUAGAGUACUAAAGAGGAUCGCGGAAUUCCCGGUGUAGAGGUGAAAUUCGUAGAUAUCGGGAGGAACACCGGUGGCGAAGGCGGCGAUCUGGGUAGAUACUGACGCUGAGGUGCGGAAGCGUGGGGAGCAAACAGG